rnacentral:rRNA from 1 species
AACUGUAGCUUUUCUAAAAGAAAUCCAUUCGAUUUAUAAUAAAUUGUAUAUUAAAUAUAAAAAUUUCCUUUUGAAUUAGGAGAGAAAAAGUUAAAAUAAAUUUUUCUUUUCCGAAAGUUUUUGAGCCAAGGCGAACUUUGUACCUAUAGAAAUAAAAAAGUUCCCUUUAGAAGAAAUAAUCUUUUCGAAAAAAUAAAUAUCUGAUAGUUCUGUAAAAUAAAAAGGAAAGCCUUUUAUAAAACAGUUGUUUAUUUUUUCCUCAUCCCUAUUAUUAAAAGUUUUUAAUUAUUGUUACAAGAAUUUUCUAAAUAUUUCUUAACUGGAAAAAUAGAUAUAAUAAAAUAAAAAUUUUCUUAUCAGUAUAAAUGAAAAAUGAAAUUAAUUUAAUACAAAAGAAUUUUUGCUAAUAAAUAAAAACUAAAAGUUUGUCUUUUUGAAUGUUUAUCAAAAUCUUUUCUAUUAAAAUUAACAGAAUCUUCUGCCAAUUGUUAAAAAAGGCCAAGGAAAUUUUACCUUGCAAAGGUAGCAUAAUAAUUUGGCUGUUUAAUGCAGUCCAGGAUGAAUGAAGAAACAAAGAGACUCUUUUUAUUCAAUAAAAUUAAAAAUUGAACUUCCUUUGAAAAUGAAGGAAAAAUUUUCUUAGACGAGAAGACCCCAGGAUCUAAAAUUUUUUUAAUUUUUGUUGGGGCAACAACUUUUAAUAAAAGAAAAAAUAUUUACAUUACUAUUUUAAUAUGACAAAGAUACCCUGGGGGUAACAGGGUAAUUAUCUAAAAGAGAUCAAAUCCAAUAGAUAGAUUACUACCUCGAUGUUGGCUUUCUCAUUUCUUUUAGGAGCAGAAAAUUAGAAGAAAGAGUCUGUUCGACUCUAGAUGAGAACAUGAGCUGAGUUCAAGUCGACGAAAGUCAGACUGUAUUUUAUCUAGAAAUUAGGCAAGGGAAUCUAGUACGAAAGGACAAAUUUUCUUCUCCAUGAGUAAAGACCAAUUUUGAAUUAAAAUUUUUUUAA